CGUGCCUUUUUGCUCUGAUCGGAGUUUUGAAAAUUUGUGAAAGUAUUUAAAAAGCGCCCUGUGCAGAUUAUAUGUCAAAUCAUGGCUUCUCCACCUGUAGGUUUCCAUGUUGUCUGCUGUUGGAAGAACAUCUCUGAGGGAUUGUGAAUAGAAUCUUUAUCUUCUGCUUAUAAAUAUACAACACUUACUCAUGGGCCAGUGGCACAAUUUCUAGCUGUACAAGGAUAUCAUGGUGUUUGAUAAGUUGAUGACAAUGAAACUAAUGACCAUGUUAACAUCAGAGGAAAAGCAAACUGGGAAAGAAAGGACAACACUGUUU
rnacentral:lncRNA from 1 species